UACGCAGGUGGCGAGCGUUGUCCGGAUUUACUGGGCGUAAAGAGCGCGCAGGCGGUCGUUCAAGUCGAGUGUGAAAGCCCCCGGCUCAACUGGGGAGGGUCACUCGAUACUGAUCGACUCGAAGGCAGGAGAGGGAAGUGGAAUUCCCGGUGUAGUGGUGAAAUGCGUAGAUAUCGGGAGGAACACCAGUGGCGAAGGCGACUUCCUGGCCUGUUCUUGACGCUGAGGCGCGAAAGCUAGGGGAGCAAACGGG
rnacentral:rRNA from 1 species